ensembl:lincRNA Gm29665 predicted gene 29665
UCCUGUUUCAAAUAUAAAUUGUUAUCAAAAUAAUUAACAACCAGAUUCUUUAUGUAUAUACAAAAAAUAAAAAUUCACAGAAUGUUAAAAGUUCAUAGUUAACUAUUGGCACAAGAACCUUAUAAACAGGAUUGAGUUGUCAAUCUAUUACAAGAUCAUAAUUUAUAUUGUACUAGCAGGUAUAGUAAUUUGGACAAGUGCAAAAGAAUUAGACCUGUUCAUGGACAUAUUCUUAAAAUGUAUAUUGGAUGAUGUACAUGUUAAUUUAAUUAGUUAUUUAAAGGCUGACAUUUCUCUCCUAAAAUUUUGGCCUGUCAAAUGUUAACAAUCAUCUUUUAUAAUCCAGAAACUAAAUAUGACACUGUGCCACUUUAAAUAUCCCUGACUUUUCAAUGGGGACGAUAUGAAGCAUGACAUUUAAUUUUUAUUUAGAAGGUGAAAGCAUCAAAAUACAUGAAUGAUGUACAUUGUGGAAAGAUGACAAGAAAAUUAAAAUAUGCUUGAUGAAAUAAAAACCUUACAGAAAUG